rnacentral:rRNA from 1 species
CACCGCCUACGGGAGGCAGCAGUGAGGAAUAUUGGUCAAUGGGCGCGAGCCUGAACCAGCCAAGUAGCGUGAAGGAUGACUGCCCUAUGGGUUGUAAACUUCUUUUAUAAAGGAAUAAAGUGAGGCACGUGUGCCUUUUUGUAUGUACUUUAUGAAUAAGGAUCGGCUAACUCCGUGCCAGCAGCCGCGGUAAUACGGAGGAUCCGAGCGUUAUCCGGAUUUAUUGGGUUUAAAGGGAGCGUAGAUGGGUUGUUAAGUCAGUUGUGAAAGUUUGCGGCUCAACCGUAAAAUUGCAAUUGAUACUG